AGUGAACGCUGGCGGUAGGCCUAACACAUGCAGUCGAACGGCAGCACAGUAAGAGCUUGCUCUUACGGGUGGCGAGUGGCGGACGGGUGAGGAAUACAUCGGAAUCUACUUUUUCGUGGGGGAUAACGUAGGGAAACUUACGCUAAUACCGCAUACGACCUACGGGUGAAAGCAGGGGAUCUUCGGACCUUGCGCGAUUGAAUGAGCCGAUGUCGGAUUAGCUAGUUGGCGGGGUAAAGGCCCACCAAGGCGACGAUCCGUAGCUGGUCUGAGAGGAUGAUCAGCCACACUGGAACUGAGACACGGUCCAGACUCCUACGGGAGGCAGCAGUGGGGAAUAUUGGACAAUGGGCGCAAGCCUGAUCCAGCCAUACCGCGUGGGUGAAGAAGGCCUUCGGGUUGUAAAGCCCUUUUGUUGGGAAAGAAAAGCAGCAGGUUAAUACCCCGCUGUUCUGACGGUACCCAAAGAAUAAGCACCGGCUAACUUCGUG
rnacentral:rRNA from 1 species